rnacentral:rRNA from 1 species
GAUGAACGCUGGCGGCGUGCCUAAUACAUGCAAGUCGAGCGAACAGACGAGGAGCUUGCUCCUCUGACGUUAGCGGCGGACGGGUGAGUAACACGUGGAUAACCUACCUAUAAGACUGGGAUAACUACGGGAAACCGGAGCUAAUACCGGAUAAUAUAUUGAACCGCAUGGUUCAAUAGUGAAAGACGGUUUUGCUGUCACUUAUAGAUGGAUCCGCGCCGCAUUAGCUAGUUGGUAAGGUAACGGCUUACCAAGGCGACGAUGCGUAGCCGACCUGAGAGGGUGAUCGGCCACACUGGAACUGAGACACGGUCCAGACUCCUACGGGAGGCAGCAGUAGGGAAUCUUCCGCAAUGGGCGAAAGCCUGACGGAGCAACGCCGCGUGAGUGAUGAAGGUCUUCGGAUCGUAAAACUCUGUUAUUAGGGAAGAACAAAUGUGUAAGUAACUAUGCACGUCUUGACGGUACCUAAUCAGAAAGCCACGGCUAACUACGUG